rnacentral:rRNA from 1 species
GACGAACGCUGGCGGCGUGCUUAACACAUGCAAGUCGAACGGAAAGGCCCUGCUUUUGUGGGGUGCUCGAGUGGCGAACGGGUGAGUAACACGUGAGUAACCUGCCCUUGACUUUGGGAUAACUUCAGGAAACUGAGGCUAAUACCGGAUAGGAGCUCCUGCUGCAUGGUGGGGGUUGGAAAGUUUCGGCGGUUGGGGAUGGACUCGCGGCUUAUCAGCUUGUUGGUGGGGUAGUGGCUUACCAAGGCUUUGACGGGUAGCCGGCCUGAGAGGGUGACCGGCCACAUUGGGACUGAGAUACGGCCCAGACUCCUACGGGAGGCAGCAGUGGGGAAUAUUGCACAAUGGGCGGAAGCCUGAUGCAGCAACGCCGCGUGCGGGAUGACGGCCUUCGGGUUGUAAACCGCUUUCGCCUGUGACGAAGCGUGAGUGACGAUAAUGGGUAAAGAAGCACCGGCUAACUACGUG